GGAUGUGAGGGCGAUCUGGCUGUGACAUCUGUCACCCCAUUGAUCGCCAGGGUUGAUUCAGCUGAUCUGGCUGGCUAGGCGGGUGUCCCCUUCCUCCCUCACUGCUCCACGUGCGUCCCUCCCAAAGCUGCGCAUCGGUUGAAGAGGACGACCUUCCCCGAUAGAGGAGGACCAUUCUUUGGUCAAGGGUAUACAAGUAGCUGCGCUCCCCUGCUAGAACCUCCAAAUAAGCUCUCAAGAGUCAGUAGGUCUCAGGGUACAAAAGGUGACUCUAAAAUGCUCUUAAGUAAUCUAGUCAUUGUAGAAAAAUUC
rnacentral:snRNA from 1 species